rnacentral:rRNA from 1 species
CACCAAAGCUCCGAUUUUUUGACGAGCGCAUCUAUUAGAUUAAAACCAAUCGGGUUUCGGCCCGUCAAUUGGUGACUCUGAAUAACUAUGGCUGAUCGCAUGGUCUUGAACCGGCGACGUGUCUAUCAAGUGUCUGCCUUAUCAACUGUCGAUGGUAGUUUAUGUGCCUACCAUGGUUGUAACGGGUAACGGAGAAUAAGGGUUCGACUCCGGAGAGGGAGCCUGAGAAACGGCUACCACAUCCAAGGAAGGCAGCAGGCGCGCAAAUUACCCACUCUCGGCAUGAGGAGGUAGUGACGAAAAAUAACGAGACCGUUCUCUCUGAGGCCGGUUAUCGGAAUGGGUACAAUUUAAACCCGUUAACGAGGAUCUAUGAGAGGGCAAGUCUGGUGCCAGCAGCCGCGGUAAUUCCAGCUCUCAAAGUGUAUAUCGUCAUUGCUGCGGUUAAAAAGCUCGUAGUUGGAUCUGCGCCUCAGGACUUGGUCCGCCCACUGGGCGAGAACUGGGCUCCUGGGCUAGUACUGCUGGUUUUCCCUACGUUGCCUUCAUCGGUCGCGUAGGGUGGCUAGCGAGUUUACUUUGAAAAAAUUAGAGUGCUUCACGCGGGCUUAUGUCUGAAUACUCGUGCAUGGAAUAAUAGAAUAGGAUCUCGGUUCUAUUUUGUUGGUUUUCUGAUCUGAGAUAAUGGUUAAGAGGGACGGACGGGGGCAUUCGUAUCGCUGCGUGAGAGGUGAAAUUCUUGGACCGUAGCGAGACGUCCGACUGCGAAAGCAUUUGCCAAGAAUGUCUUCAUUAAUCAAGAACGAAAGUCAGAG